UACGGAAGGCAGCAGUGGGGAAUAUUGCACAAUGGGCGAAAGCCUGAUGCAGCUAUGCCGCGUGUAUGAAGAAGGCCUUAGGGUUGUAAAGUACUUUCAUCGGGGAGGAAAAAACAAAACUAAUAAUUUUAUUUCUUGACGUUACCCGAAAAAGAAGCACCGGCUAACUCCGUGCCAGCAGCCGCGGUAAUACGGAGGGUGCUAGCGUUAAUCAGAAUUACUGGGCGUAAAGAGCACGUAGGUGGUUUUUUUAAGUCAGAUGUGAAAUCCCUGGGCUUAACCUAGGAACUGCAUUUUGAAACUGAAAUACUAGAGUAUCGUAGAGGGAGGUAGAAUUCUAGGUGUAGCGGUGAAAUAGCGUAGAUAUCUGGAGGAAGUAACCUGUGGCGGAAAGACGGCCGUCCUAAACGAAAUACUGACACUGAGGUGCGAAAGCGUGGGGAGGCGAAACAGGGAGUUAGAUACC
rnacentral:rRNA from 1 species